UCCAGACUCCUACGGGAGGCAGCAGGGGGGAAUAUUGCACAAUGGGGGAAACCCUGAUGCAGCGACGCCGCGUGAGUGAAGAAGUAUUUCGGUAUGUAAAGCUCUAUCAGCAGGGAAGAAAAUGACGGUACCUGACUAAGAAGCCCCGGCUAACUACGUGCCAGCAGCCGCGGUAAUACGUAGGGGGCAAGCGUUAUCCGGAUUUACUGGGUGUAAAGGGAGCGUAGACGGCAGAGCAAGUCUGAAGUGAAAGACCGCGGCCCAACUGCGGGACUGCUUUGGAAACUGCCCGGCUAGAGUGCUGGAGAGGUAAGCGGAAUUCCUAGUGUAGCGGUGAAAUGCGUAGAUAUUAGGAGGAACACCGGUGGCGAAGGCGGCCUGCUGGACUGUAACUGACGUUGAGGCUCGAAAGCGCGGGGAGCAAACAGGAUUAGAUACCCCCGUACC
rnacentral:rRNA from 1 species